CCUACGGGGAGGCAGCAGUGAGGAAUAUUGGUCAAUGGGGGGAACCCUGAUGCAGCGACGCCGCGUGGGUGAAGGAGUGCUUCGGCAUGUAAAGCCCUAUCGGCAGGGAAGAAGCAAGACGGUACCUGACUAAGAAGCCCCGGCUAACUACGUGCCAGCAGCCGCGGUAAUACGUAGGGGGCGAGCGUUAUCCGGAUUCACUGGGUGUAAAGGGAGCGUAGACGGCCAUGCAAGCCAGGGGUGAAAGCCCGGGGCCCAACCCCGGGACUGCCCUUGGAACUGUGCGGCUAGAGUGCGGGAGGGGCAGGCGGAAUUCCUGGUGUAGCGGUGAAAUGCGUAGAUAUCAGGAGGAACACCGGCGGCGAAGGCGGCCUGCUGGACUGCGACUGACGUUGAGGCUCGAAAGCGUGGGGAGCGAACAGGAUUAGAUACCCUAGUAGUC
rnacentral:rRNA from 1 species